GGUAGGUUGGCCGAGUUUUAGGCGGCGGAUUGUAGUCCCGUUCACAGAGGUUCAAUUCCUCUCCCUAUCA
rnacentral:tRNA from 2 species